rnacentral:rRNA from 1 species
CCUACUGGAGGCAGCAGUUAGGAAUCUUCGGCCAUGGGGGCAACCCUGACCGAGCAAUGCCGCGUGUGAGCUGAAGGCCCUAUGGGUUGUAAAUCACUUUUAUUUGGGAAGCACUGUAAGUAGAGGAAAUGAUACUUACUUGCCGGUACCUUUUGCAUAAGCCCCGGCUAACUACGUGCCAGCAGCCGCGGUAAUACGUCUGGGGCGAGCGUUAUCCGGAUUUAUUGUGCGUAAAGCGUGCGUAGGCGGUUUGGUACGUCCAGAAUUAAAGCCCGAGGCUUAACCUCGGUUCGUUCUGGAAACUGGCAGACUAGAGGAUGGUAGAGGCAAAUGGAAUGCCUAGUGGAGCGGUGAAAUGCGUAGAUAUUAGGAGGAACACCAGUGGCGAAGGCGAUUUGCUGGGCCAUCACUGACGCUGAGGUACGAAAGCGUGGGGAGCAAAUAGGAUUAGAUACCCGGGUAGUC